rnacentral:rRNA from 1 species
AUUGAACGCUGGCGGCAGGCUUAACACAUGCAAGUCGAGCGGAGAGAGGUAGCUUGCUACCGAUCUUAGCGGCGGACGGGUGAGUAAUGCUUAGGAAUCUGCCUAUUAGUGGGGGACAACAUUCCGAAAGGAAUGCUAAUACCGCAUACGUCCUACGGGAGAAAGCAGGGGAUCUUCGGACCUUGCGCUAAUAGAUGAGCCUAAGUCGGAUUAGCUAGUUGGUGGGGUAAAGGCCUACCAAGGCGACGAUCUGUAGCGGGUCUGAGAGGAUGAUCCGCCACACUGGGACUGGGACACGGCCCAGACUCCUACGGGAGGCAGAAGUGGGGAAUAUUGGACAAUGGGGGGAACCCUGAUCCAGCCAUGCCGCGUGUGUGAAGAAGGCCUUAUGGUUGUAAAGCACUUUAAGCGAGGAGGAGGCUACUGAGACUAAUACUCUUGGAUAGUGGACGUUACUCGCAGAAUAAGCACCGGCUAACUCUGUGCCAGCCGCCGCCGUAACAC